UACGUAGGGUACGAGCGUUGUCCGGAAUUAUUGGGCGUAAAGAGCUCGUAGGUGGUUGGUCACGUCUGCUGUGGAAACGCAACGCUUAACGCUGCGCGGGCAGUGGGUACGGGCUGACUAGAGUGCAGUAGGGGAGUCUGGAAUUCCUGGUGUAGCGGUGAAAUGCGCAGAUAUCAGGAGGAACACCGGUGGCGAAGGCGGGACUCUGGGCUGUGACUGACACUGAGGAGCGAAAGCAUGGGGAGGCGAACAGGAUUAGA
rnacentral:rRNA from 1 species